rnacentral:misc_RNA from 1 species
UGGCAACGUCAACCGUACACGUCAAAAAAGAAGCGAACAACUAGAAGGAAGUGACGUAGGGAAGUGUAACCUCAUUAUGUCGACUUACUACCAUUUGAUUUCGGUUCUUGUUUCGAUUCUGACAUUCUAAAUCAAAGAAAACACUUCGGUUUAAGCAACUUAUUAAAAUGCAGAAUCAAAAUUUAACGCAAUACAAAUCUGUUGCAGAAGAACCGAAAUUAUUGUCAGAUAGCCAUUUUUCUCCAAUACCACCAUCAUUAGAAAGCGAUGGAAAGCCUAUGGAGGAGGAAAGAAUCAGAUUAACAACAUUUUCUUCAUGGCCACAUGAAGAUGUCAUAGCUUCUCACAAACUUGCUAAAGCAGGUUUUUAUUAUAAAGGAGAUGGAGAUGAAGUACAAUGUUUUAGUUGUGGAGUAAAAAUAAAAGGUUGGCAGCCAGGAGAUGUUGCUGUUAGAAAGCACAGAGAAUUAUUUCCAAAAUGUAAUUUUAUUGCAGAAAUAUUUAACAAGGCAUUUAAAAAGCCAAAUUUAGGUUCUAAUGGUAUUGCAGCAGUAUCAGAAAAUAAUUUAACUCCGAGUGAUGUUUCCAGUUCUAAUUCAAGGACGUUAGUAAAUGGUCAAACACACCACAAUCCUGACCAAAAUGCUUCAACAUCAGCAAUUAAUCAAAUACCACAAAACAGAAAUUUAGAAGAUACAUCUAGAACUCCAGAUUUUGAGAAACUUAAAUCAGAGAGGGAGAGAUUAAAAACUUUUGAGACGUGGCCUCUAACAAGUCCUAAACCUUGUGAUCUUGCUAGAGAAGGGUUUUUUUAUUUGUUGCAACAAGAUAAAGUACAGUGUGUGUUUUGCCGUGGAAUUGUUAGUCACUGGGAAAGAAAUGACGAUCCACUUAGAGAACAUGCUAGGCAUUUUCCUUUCUGUCCUUUUGUAAUGAAUAGAAAUGUUGGAAAUAUUCCAAUAAAUUCUCCUGAACCAACUCAUUCAGUAAUAAGAGGAACUGGACAUGAUGAAUGUGGUUCAUUGAUUUGGAAAAAUUCUGUUCCUGAAAAUGGAUAUAAAUCUAUAAGAAAAGCAAAUAAACUUGAAAAUUUUGGUGUUAAAUUACAUCAUGGACCAAGACAUCCAGCCCAAGCAAGUAAAGAUGCAAGAUUAAGAUCAUUUGUUACUUGGCCAGCAACUGCUGUUUUGAGACCAGCAGAAUUAGUAGAUGCUGGAUUCUUUUAUAUUGGUAUUAAGGAUUACACAAGAUGCUUUUAUUGUGAUGGUGGGUUAUGUAAUUGGGAAAAGGGCGAUGAUCCAUGGGUGGAGCACGCAAGAUGGUUUCAAAACUGUGCAUAUGUACGACUAAAUAAAGGAGAUGACUUUGUAGAAGCUUGUCUGAAUAGUCCCUCUCGGAAAUCAAGUGGUGAAGUUAACAUGGAAUCAACAAGUAAUGAAGUGUUACAUGUUUCUGAAUUUUCAUUAACUGUUGAACGUCAAGUAGAUGAAUAUAUGAAAUCUGAUAUUGUAAAAGCAGCAAUUGAACCUGGAAUUUUCCCUCCUCAUAUGAUUAGAGAAGUUUUAUUAAGGAGAGUACAAAAUGGUGAUGGAAACUUUGAGAAUGCAGAUGAAUUAUGUGAAACCGUACUGAAUUUACAACAAGAAAUGGAAAAUAAUGCAAGCAAUGAAUCAACAAAUAUUGAUGAAGAACCUAUGGAAGUAAACAAAGAAAUGAAUGUUACAGUUAGACCUUCAACAAGUCCUUCCGAAGAUGUUCAACCAUCAUGUUUUUCUGUUUCUGGACAAAGUGCUAGUGGAUCUGCUUCUAUCGAUGAUUUACUAAAAGAACAGAGACUGUGCAAGAUUUGUAUGGAUAAAGAAAUUGGAGUAUUAUUCUUGCCCUGUGGUCAUCUUGUAGCAUGUGUUCAAUGUGCUCCAGCAAUGUCUGAUUGCCCUUUUUGCAGAAAACCAAUCAAAGGAACAGUUCGAGCUUUUCUUACAUGAAAAAUUUUUUUAAAAAUGUGCAGUACAGAACUUUUGGACAGCACUUAUUCUCAAAGGAAGAAAAUUGAAAAAAAUGAAGAUUUACAAUGUUAUUUGCAUGAAGGGUCUGUUUGGAAAUGCUUACCGAUUCAACCUACGAGACCGGCGUCAUUUAAAAACAUUACUUAUAAAAUUUCCGGUGAUACGAUUACUACAGGCUCACCACAGUCAAGGGUGGAUUAGAGAAUAACAAUCCAAUUACCCAUGACGUCAGGCUGUAUUCACAUUGCCAUAGAUCU